rnacentral:rRNA from 1 species
CAGCAGCCACGGGAAUACAGAGGGUGCGAGCGUUAAUCGGAUUUACUGGGCGUAAAGCGUGCGUAGGCGGCUUCUUAAGUUGGAUGUGAAAUCCCUGAGCUUAACUUAGGAAUUGCAUUCGAUACUGGGAAGCUAGAGUAUGGGAGAGGAUGGUAGAAUUCCAGGUGUAGCGGUGAAAUGCGUAGAGAUCUGGAGGAAUACCGAUGGCGAAGGCAGCCAUCUGGCCUAAUACUGACGCUGAGGUACGAAAGCAUGGGGAGCAAACAGGAUUAGAUACCCCGGUAGUCCCUGUCUCUUAUAC